CACAUGCAAGUCGAACGAUGAACCCGCUUGCGGGGGAUUAGUGGCGAACGGGUGAGUAACACGUGAGUAACCUGCCCUUAACUCUGGGAUAAGCCUUGGAAACGGGGUCUAAUACUGGAUAUUGACUUUACCUCGCAUGGGGUUUUGUUGAAAGAUUUAUUGGUUUUGGAUGGACUCGCGGCCUAUCAGCUUGUUGGUGAGGUAAUGGCUCACCAAGGCGACGACGGGUAGCCGGCCUGAGAGGGUGACCGGCCACACUGGGACUGAGACACGGCCCAGACUCCUACGGGAGGCAGCAGUGGGGAAUAUUGCACAAUGGGCGAAAGCCUGAUGCAGCGACGCCGCGUGAGGGAUGACGGCCUUCGGGUUGUAAACCUCUUUCAGUAGGGAACAAGGCCACACGUUGUGUGGUUGAGGGUACUUGCAGAAGAAGCGCCGGCUAACUACGUGCCAGCAGCCGCGGUAAUACGUAGGGCGCAAGCGUUAUCCGGAAUUAUUGGGCGUAAAGAGCUCGUAGGCGGUUUGUCGCGUCUGCCGUGAAAGUCCGGGGCUCAACUCCGGAUCUGCGGUGGGUACGGGCAGACUAGAGUGAUGUAGGGGAGACUGGAAUUCCUGGUGUAGCGGUGAAAUGCGCAGAUAUCAGGAGGAACACCGAUGGCGAAGGCAGGUCUCUGGGCAUUAACUGACGCUGAGGAGCGAAAGCAUGGGGAGCGAACAGGAUUAGAUACCCUGGUAGUCCAUGCCGUAAACGUUGGGCACUAGGUGUGGGGGACAUUCCACGUUUUCCGCGCCGUAGCUAACGCAUUAAGUGCCCCGCCUGGGGAGUACGGCCGCAGGCUAAAACUCAAAGGAUUGACGGGGGUCUCGCACAGCGCCGAGCAUGCGAUUAUUCGAUGCACGCGAGACCUACCAGCCUGACAUGACUGAAUAACUUAAACAGUGCCCGCUGCGUCGGUACAGUGGUGCAUGUGUCCUCCGCUCGGUCUGAAUGUGUUAAGUCCCGCACGAGCCCACCCUCGUUCUAGUUGCCACCCGUAAUUGUGGGA
rnacentral:rRNA from 1 species